rnacentral:rRNA from 1 species
GUCGAGAAUAAUUCACAAUGGACGAAAGUCUGAUGGUGCAACGCCGCGUGGAGGAUGAAGGUCUUCGGAUUGUAAACUCCUGUCAUCGGGGAGUAAGACCUGGCGGUAAAUAGCCGACAGGGUUGAUAGUACCCGAAGAGGAAGGGACGGCUAACUUCGUGCCAGCAGCCGCGGUAAUACGAAGGUCCCAGGCGUUGUUCGGAAUCACUGGGCGUAAAGGGAGCGUAGGCGGCGUGGUAAGUCAGAUGUGAAAUCCCGGGGCUCAACCCCGGAACUGCAUCCGAUACUGCCAUGCUUGAGGGUUGGAGAGGUAGCUGGAAUUCUCGGUGUAGCAGUGAAAUGCGUGGAUAUCGAGAGGAACACUCGUGGCGAAGGCGAGCUACUGGACAACAUCUGACGCUGAGGCUCGAAGGCCAGGGGAGCAAAAGGGAUUAGAAACCCGGGUAGUCC